GCCGCUCUGAAUCCCUCGGCCGCCAGAGUCGGUCCCCAAAGUGCAGUGCAGUCGUGACUGACGGGCCAGAGUUCAGGGGUGGCCGCGCUGUGCCUCUCCCUGCCACUCCUUAGGCCUCCGCUCCGCGGAGUUGUGGAGACGCUUCAACCGAAGAGGAGCCGACAAGGCCCAAGGGAGCUGUAGUGACAGAACGGCCACCUGGGGGACAUGACGGCCGCAACCGGCCGCUAACUAGCAGCUGGAGGACCGCUGGGAGGCCCCGAGGAGACGCGCACGCGCAGAAGCUGGGCCUCGAGGCCUCCGUAAACACCAAAGAGCGCCUGCGCAAACGGGGCGCCUCGGGAUGGCCGCGUGGGGGCGCCUGAGCAAAGACGACAGCAAUAAAUAGUAAAGUACCUGUCGGGUUAUCUUUCCGCUGUCUUUUCUCUUAAGGUUUGCAAAGCAUAGCCCAUCGCUGCCUCCUAGUUUGCUCCUUAGAGCGGUCGUUUUACCAGUGGGGCAGCGAGUCAGAAGAAGUCACACAGCCAGAGUCCGAACAAAGUGAGAGGGACCGCGCCAAACGGUUCAGGCUUCUCUACCUUGACUUGCUGUGUGAGCUUGGGUAGUUUUGUUCCCCUGAGGACCUAAGCCUUCUUAGUCGAAAGUGGAAACAGGUUGUUGGAAGGAUCAGAUGAAAUCCAGGAGUGAAACUAAAUUCCCGAGCAACCUAUAAAGGCAACAGAUUAUUAUAAUCGGGUGACUGCAGAUUGAGGAGCCUCUUCUGGAUUCUACAGAUUGCAAAGCCGAGAGCCCCAAGAGGGGCAGGAGCUUGCCACGGGUCUCAGCAGUCUGUGAGCAAAGGCUAAAGCCCAUCCUUCCUGCCUCUGGGCCUGAGCCCUUCCUUGCACCCCAAGGAUGAGUAUCUUUGUUGGAUAAAGGCCUAAAAAGACGGACUGUACUCGGGGUUGGGGCGUCUCUACUCCCAGUCCUCCUCCCACCCAACCUGGGCCUCGUGGAGGAAGGUCCUGCUCUGUUGAGAUGACCACCAAAGGCAGGGAACUAAGGAGGAGCUGGAGAAUCGAGGAGCUGGAGAAUCGUGGAGAAAGAUCCUGAAGCUGAACAGACUCUGUUUCUCAGAGGAGCAGCCCAGCUCAGGGAGGGAGUCCAAGUGUGUGGCCCGAGGAGUGAUGUCAAGGGGACAGACCUGAACGGAAAGAGGGGUAAGGUGCUGGGCUCCACUUCUGAGUCUGGGAGGAAUGGGGGCUCAGGUGACUCCAGGUGACUCCAGGGACAGCGGGAGGUGGUAGCUGGGCUGGCCUGGAUGGUGAGAGGAGGAAAUGAUGCACACGGAGCUGAGGGGCUGUCGGAGCCACUUCCUCAGCAGGUGGAGCAGUCAGGUGGCACCAUGGGCACACCCUCCCCUCCCCCCGCCAAUCAGGCAGCUGCCCACAGGGAAGUGAACUUUUAUCUCUCGUGGGAGCUCUCUGGGGUGCUCUUAGAGAUUGUGGACAUAGGUGUGGGAGGGGCUGGGAGACCCUAAGGUCUGGUUGCAGAUGGGACCUUCUCAGGCAAGCGGUGAAAGGCAGGUGUUUGUACAAAGGGAAGCUCGAGCUCCUCCCCACCUCCAAGUGCUAAUACUCGGGGUCCUCGCAAAUCAUCUCUGUUUCCAGCAGGAGGAACAGGGGCUGAAGGAGGACAGGACUCUCUUCAGGACAUACAAGGAGUUGGGAUAGAACGGGACUAGGACAGGGAUCUUCCCAUCACAUGGCAGUGAUCAAGCAUCUUCAUCCAACUUUUUUUUUUUAGGGCCACACCCGCAGCAUAUGGAGAUUCCCAGUCUAGGGGUCGAAUCAGUUGGAGCUACAGCUGCCGGCCUACACCACAGCCACAGCAACGUAGGAUCCAAGCCGCAUCUGUGACCUACACCACAGCUCACAGCAACACCAGAUCCUUAUUAACCCACUGAUCGAGGACAGAGAUCAAACCCAAAACCUCAUGUCGGAUUCGUUUUUGCUGCGCCACAGCAGGAACUCCCUUCAUCAAACAUUUAUUGUCUACUGUAUACUCUCUUUAUACCUUAGGGUACAAACAGAAGCCAGGAUUGCAGUCAGGAUAUUCAGCUCUUUCAGUGACUUAAUGCUGUGACCCUUGGCGCGUCACUACCCCACUGGGAGCCUCAUUGUCUGUAGAAUGGGGGUGGUAUAACUCCAGAAAAUAAAAAGCACCUUUAUACAGAUUUAGCCCAGCAGCUGAUUUCCCUAAGAAAAACGCUUUGAAUGUGUUUAAAGCUCAUUUAUCUUCAGUGUCAAAACUUAGAGGUAUAAACAAACUGAAGAUAUUAUAUAUAGCAAAUUAAUUUACAUUUCCAAACAUGCACAGUGCAGCAUUUUAGACAAAGUAAAUGGUCUCACUUCAGCUUUUACUAUUAAGCAUAAUUCACAUCUCAAUCUUGAAUGUAAACGUCGCAGUGUAUAAACCCACUGAGAAUCCUGUGCUCAAGUACAAGUUCAUAGAAAUCUGAUUUCAAAUAUAAACACAUACAUUGUCAUGACCUUACGUGUUACAACAGCUUAUUUUUCUAUUGUAAUUUUUAAAAAUCCUAGGAAGAUAUUUCAAUGCCCAGUCAACUGCUAUGACAGGGUCCAUGACGUUGUGCCUUUAAACCUUACUUUAUGGAUUGUAAAGCAUCACACCAGGCAUUUUUUGGAAUGAAAAUUACUAAAGUCUCAAGACUGAAGAGCUGCUGUAUAAAUAUUCCCAUUCUAAUACAGUAACAAAACUAGUCAACUCCUUGGGAGUGUGUUUGGGAGGCAGUGGGGCCGACAGGUGGAGGUUCCUGCUGGUUUCAGAAGGCCCACAGGACGUAUCCAAAGGUGGCCAAUAAACUAGGGUAAUUUUUUUUCAUUUUUUAAUUUACUUUUUCUUUUUUUAAAUUACUCAAUGCAUUUAUUACAUUUAUAGUUGUACAGUGAUCAAAACUGGGGUAAUUUUUAUACCCCUGUUGCAAGCCUAACACUGACCUUACCAGUGAGACCUCUGAGGCAGCCAAGACCGGGCGUGUGUUUGGCCCCAGAUGCAUGAACUCCAGGGCUGUCUCGAGGUAUAACUACGCCCUAAGGACUGCUCAGUGCAUGGAGCAGCACCAGGCAGGGCGACGUGCUCGGGAAACAUCAGCCACUGUUGUUCCUUGUGAACACAGGUGGAGGCUAGCUGCAGACCGGGCUUUCCCAGAGCCAGGCAGGGCCGGAGAGGCCGCAGCCCCAGGCCUGUCCCUCUGCCAGAUCCCUCCACCGUGUGCCUGGGGCGCCUGCAUUUCUGGAAGUUGAGGGGGGCACUCACAUCCCCAUUUCCCCCUCUGGACUGGGGGACCCAGCGGGGAGCAUGUACACCUCUUCACGCACGAGAUGCGUUUCCGCACACCCUAGGCCCAGAGUUAAGGUGAUUCUUGCCCAAAGCUGCUUAGUACAGCCCUGGCCAGUGAGAUCAGAACCAGACCCUGGGCUCUCGCCAGCGCCCCCAGGAUGUAGGUUUAUGCACGACCCUUCCUCCCGGCGGGACAGAAGUUCCAAAAGACCGACAGCAGGGCCCUGAGUUGUGUGUCCCCUGAACAGAGCAGGAGUCGGGGCAGAGAGGAGCCUGGGUGGAAGACACAGCCUGGCAUCACAUACCCUGCCCCCAGCCCACCCUGUUUGAGGGCGGGGUCUGGCCCAGUGGUAAUUUCAGCUCUGGUCUAGGCCUGUCUAAUUCAAACCCCCCCCCCUUUUUUUCACUUUUUUUCUUUUUAUGGCCACACCUGCGGCAUAUGAAGUUCCCAGGCUAGGGUUCGAAUUGAAGCUGCAGCUGCCAGCUUACACCACAGCCACAGCAGCGCCAGAUCCAAGCCACCUCUGUGACCUACACCACAGCUCCUGGCAAAGCCAGAUCCCUGACCUGCUGGGCGAGGCCAGGGAUCAAACCUGAAUCCUUGUAGAUACUAGUCAGAGUUGUUUCCCCUGCACCACAACAGGAGCUCUAAACCCCUUAUUUAUAGAGGGAGGAAGAGACGCUCAGAGAAGCCAAGAACGCACCCACAGUAAGCCCCACAGUAAGGUGGGAAUGAAUCUGGGCCGGAACUCAAGUGCCCUGAUGUUGGGCCAGGGCUCUGCCCAGCUGCUGCCUUGGAGGGAGCAGGGCUUGGCUCGUCCCUCCUUCCCCACUGCCACCACAGCCUGUGUGGAGCCAGCCUCAGUGCAGCCACCUGGGUGGGUUGUGGCUGCAGAUGGCAGGGUCGGGGAGGGUGCGUGGACAGGUAGGGGAGGGGGAGUACGGGCCUGGUCAGAGAGAAGCCCGGAGCUGACCUGGGGCAAGUGGGCGGGAGCUCUCCUUGGUGUGUGUGUGUCUGCUCCAGGUUCUAGGGCCUUCCUCGUCAGUCUGAGGAAGCAGAGGAUAAAAAUACUGUGGGAGCACACUCCUGGAGGAGGGAAGCAGAGCAGAUUCUGGAAUGAGUCACGGAGCCCAAGCCCUAAAUUUAGAAGAUGCUGAAGGAGGCAGCCACCUCCGGGGAACGCUGAGGAGAUACCCGCUGACCUGGGGCACCAGGGCCUCGGGGCAGGGGCAGCGUUGGCAGGCGUCCCCGGCAUAGCUGUGCCCCAUGGAAGCUGGCCUGUUCCAGGGAAGAAUUUUGACCCCAGAAUGAGCCCUGACCCAGGGCAGAGCCUCCACCUACUGACGGAACCCGUGGUGAGCCUUCCCGACCUCAGCCCUCCACAAGGACCUGAAAACCAGCCCCUGGACGGUGGGUUUCUCGGUGCUGACCUGCCCACGGCUGGGCAGAGCCAGGCUCCCCAGGUCCUGCUGCUGGCCUGGCAUCCAGUUGUCAGACCCCGAGGAGGGGGCCCAGUGGGUGCGAGGAGCUCCAGCCAUUGAGUGCAGGCCUCCCAGAGGGGACCCAUCUGGGCCUUUGUAGCUCUUUUUGGGAGAGAGGGCGAGGCAGGGAGACAGGCUGUCAAAGCACCACCUCUGCUUUACUCCCAGCCCUCCUGGCUCCAGGCGAACCCAGACUGUUUCUUUGCCUCCGGGUCAGAAGCCGUGGUGGGGGGGGGCACUGCCUCCAGGCCGAGGAGCAGAGACAGGAAAGAGGCCAUGCCUUGGGGACAACUGCCAGACCUGGGAAAAGGCGGCUCAGGCGAUAAGAACCGGUAGCAGCCGUGGCAUUUAUUGGACACUCAUUGCUCGCCAGGCGCGGCGCUAAGCUCUCCGUGUGCACAGAUUCACUCCGUCCCUAAGGCAGAUGCAAAUCCUACUAGCCUUGUCGUUCUAGAAAACUGGGACAGAGAGGGUGAGUAACUUGGUCUAGACCACACAGUCAGAGGUCCUAAGCCAGACAGCCUGGCUCCCUGGCGCGCACUCUCAGCCACGAGGCUGGACUGCAGAGGCGGCCGUUCCCCUCUCCAUCCUGCCACCCCUCUUGUCCUUCCUUCCCCAGCCUCCCAUCGCUAGAGCCCUGGGUGCCACCGCCUGCAGGACCUGACAGUUUACAGAGCCUGCCCGCUGCCCCAGCCCGGUGGAAAAGCAUCUUCAGCGCCUCGGCCUUGACAGGAAAACAGCGAGAGAGGGGCAGGGCCUUGGCCAAGAUUGGCAGGGCCCAGGGUGGACUGUGGAGACUCCCGCUUUGGGAGAGCCCCGAGCCCAGAUGGCCGGCACCCCCUCUGCAAGCAGGUCCCCCUCCUGCGGAUGGGGUCUGUUGGGCACCACUACCUGCAGGAGCCCAGUCUAAUUGCUGGGUCGAUGUAACCUUACAAAUGCCCUGGAGUUUGCUGUAAGAAGCUCCUGAUCCGUCUGCCUGACCCCAGGCCCUCCCCGCCACUCUGUGCUGGGGGGGUGGAGGGGUCUUUGGGUGUCUCUGGAGAGGACGAGGUUGUCUGGCAACAACUCCAGCCCUGGGACAACGGCCUCUUUUCGGGAAGCCACACAACUUGCUGUUUUUGGUUUCUUCUUAUUUUUUCAUCUCAAAGCUGUGCCUUGAGUGCCCUCACAAGACAGUUUUACGUCGUGGGACUAGAGGAGCUUCUGGGGAGCACGUAGGAUCACUCUUUGGAUGGGGCGGGCGGAGGAUGCACCCCCCAACCCCUAGGCUAUUCUUCCUGAAGGGAGGGACUCCUCUCAGGCCAGCUUGAGAAGCUCAGAGCUGCCUGGGGACACAGGCUGGUCCAGGUGUGACAUGACUUCCCUCUCAGCCCUUCUGCCUUUGCCGGGGCACCACACGUGGGGAUGCCAGGGACAGGUUCAGGUUCUGGCUGGGCCUUGCGUUCUCAUCUGUCAAAUGGGGCCGAGGUCCCUGCAUGGCCUUCCCCCUAAGGCUGUUGUACAUACUCUACAGAGUGAGAAUGGCAGGCUCAGGUCUGGCCCAGGGCCUCUGCACCGGGAAGAUGAGCAGGACGUCACGUGCGUGUGUGUGUGUGCACACGUGCGUGCGUGUGUGUGCAGCAGCGGUGACGCAGGGCUGCCUGUGCGUCCCAGGGUAGGUGAGGGACUGAGGUCUGUGCGGGGACUGGUGUAGCUCUUAGGGGCUUUGUGAUGCGGGUGUGGCAGUGCCUCGGGUGUAAGGUGGCCAGACCUUGGGACGUGUAUACUGAACAUGAUUCUUUGCGUAUCUGAAAA
rnacentral:lncRNA from 1 species